rnacentral:lncRNA from 1 species
CUACUACAUCAAUCAGACCACAAGGUGCCCUUUCAGGAAAGUAAUGGAGUAUAAUCAACCUAACUUCAUUGAUCUACAAGGACUACUGAAAAUUAUAAAACUUUCUUUGGGAUUCUAACAUGCCAGAAACCACUAGAAAAAGAAGUUUGAUAUCUCAGAGGUUCUCCUCAUCGUGGUAUAGAGACCAAAAUGAUACUUUCAAAAAGCCUGACAGGUUUCUCCGGAAAAGUGACCAUCCAUGGAAUGAAUGAAAUGUUCCCUUUCUAUUCCAGGUACAGACAGGCAUGCAGAAGUAACUAGACGUCCAACACAUGCCAAGGUCUUGCGGGCCCAGGAUUUCGAACAAAAGAAAACUCGGUAACGUGACUGUAAAUCAAGGGCAUUUGAGACCAUAGACGCGCGCACCACUGCAAGGGUUAAUUGGAGGAGAGGGAAGAGAGAGGCUCCACCUUGCAGUCUGUGUGAACUUCGGCCAGAAAAAGAGCUGGAGCUCCAGCCGCCGCCGGUGGGAGCCCUGCAGUCCGCGGCACGCGGUCCCUUGUUGUGGGGCAGGUGUGGCGCCGGGUAGAGGCGGGGCGCAACCUGGAAACUGCCGCCUGAGCUGUGGCCCGCGCCCUGCCUACCCUUUGGCGCAUCUGUUUCUUUAUUGCCUGAAAGCCAUCCGACGCGUUGAAGGCGCGAUUAUCGACAAUUUGUCAGCCCGAUUUUGUCGCUUGCAAUAACUUUUGGUGAAGUUUCACUCUCAGGCCCUUGAGUUUCGGGAUGAGGAAAUGUGGUAUGAGAGCAUUGUCCUGUGUUUGGCUUCUCAUUUCCACAGGACCCAGGCAGGCAGAAGAAGGGAAAAGAAAGUUAAUCCGACUGCAGUCACUCUGGCACACAAGCCAUGGGGAAACGGGAGAGAAACUUGUUCCUUCUCCUACAAAACUCUCCCCUUCCCCCUCAAGCCCCUCCCCCCACCAGGUCCUUUUUAAUAGAUCAGUCCCUCAUCUCCCCCCCCCUCCACACACGUAUUCUUGGGCCCACAAUUCUCUUGAGCAACCUAGGACUGAGUUUUUGUGUUUUGUUUGUUUUGCUUCCUUUUUCCUUUGUGUUUGUGGAUGUGGAUUGUUUUUCAGGGACCAGGGGCCAGGACCGCAGCUCUAAACCUGAACCGUUCACCUUCAUGAUCCCUUUCUUCCCCUCUUCUUGAUUGGUGGCUGUCGUGGCCAAGACCAUGCCCUUUCCUGAGCAUGGAGCAGUGGGGCAGCUGCUCUGAAGCAGCUGCUGUGCCUUACCCCUCUUUUCUCAAUCAUUAAAAUUCAAUUUCAAAAUUUCUGUCUUUAACAAUUUCCUAAGGAGACUAUGAAGAAUGCCAAAAGAGUGGGCCUUUUUUCAAGUGGUCAUGUUUCAGCAAAAGGCAGGCACAGUCCAAGUUGCCCUAGGUUGUGCCCUUAUAGGAGCAGGGCAGUGGAUGUUGUGUAAAAUGGAGUGCUGUGCCCACCUUGAACGAGAGACGAGCUCUGGCAGGUCAAGAACCUGGGGAGAGCAACUCCAGCUUUUCCAUCCACAUCACCCCUGCAGCUUGAUGGAGCACAGCACCAAGCAGGAAGUUCUCAUUUUUUUUUUUUUUUUUAAUGUCCACACCCAUGACAUACAGAAGUUUCUGGCCCAGGGAUUGAAUCUAAGUUUCAGCUAUGACCUAUGUGGCAGCUAUAGCAAUGCCAGAUCCCUUAACCCGCUGCACCAAGCUGGGGAUCAAACCCUCACCUCUGCAGCAACCCAAGCUGCUGCAGUUAGAUUUUUAACCCACUGCACCACAGCUGGAACUCUGGGGAAGUUCUCUUUAAUAGUUCCUCACUUUCUUCCUUGAUCCAAAAAGAAAAAUAUUUGUAUUCGGAAAGUUCUCUUCUGCUAAGAAGUUUCUAUUAACAUCUCUUUCUCCUUUCAGUGAAGUCUGUUUCUGGGUCAAGGGGAGUGUUUUAAGAAACAGAAAAAUAGAGACACACACAUAACUGCAAUAGGUAGCUGAACUUCAUCAGGAGCCUUGAGUAGCCAAGAAAACAUUCUUCUGAUGCAACUUCAGAGUUUCAUCCCCUGCUCCAAAAUUUAUCAUGUAAUUAGUACCCAAAAUGCCUCCUUUAACCAACACCCAUUGCAACCUAUGGAAAAGAUGUAGCAUUUUUUUUUUUGAAAUUCUAGAUGGACCUAAGGAUUACCUGACUCCUAUUGCCAUCACCUCUUAAUCACACAAAACUGUUUUCCUAAACACCAACCUUUUUCCCUAUAAAAACCACUGACCCCUCAGUAUACCUAGUACCUUUUUUCCUCCCUUUAAAUUAUUAUUCCUUACUCUUUUCCGUUCUGGGGCCCUGAGCCAGAUUCUCAGAAUUAAUCCUGAGUUCUCCCAAAUGCCAUGACAAGUUAGAAGGGAAAUUGGGGGACUGCACUGAAAAUACAUGGUAUAGAGAGUAAAUGUUACAGCUGUUGACAAGUGGCAGUUUGGGGUAUCAGCAAUGAAUUCCACAUUUUUCUAUAGGCUUCUUUUUACUUCACUUUAGGAUCCACUGAUCCUAAUAGAAACAAGUUAAAACUGCAGUUCCCUUCGUGGCGCAGUGGUUAACGAAUCCGACUAGUAACCAUGAGGUUGUGGGUUUGAUCCCUGGCCUUGCUCAGUGGGUUAAGGAUCCGGCGUUGCUGUGAGCUGUGGUGUAGGCCGGUGGCUGCAGCUCCGAUUAGACCCCUAGCUUGGGAAUCUCCAUAUGCCCCUGGAGCAGCCAUAGAAAAGGCAAAAAGACCAAAAAAAAAAAAAAAAAAA